rnacentral:rRNA from 1 species
UAGUGGCGACGGGUGAGUAACACGUGGGCAAUCUGCCCUUCACUCUGGGACAAGCCCUGGAAACGGGGUCUAAUACCGGAUAACACUCCUCCCUGCAUGGGGAGGGGUUAAAAGCUCCGGCGGUGAAGGAUGAGCCCGCGGCCUAUCAGCUUGUUGGUGGGGUAAUGGCCUACCAAGGCGACGACGGGUAGCCGGCCUGAGAGGGCGACCGGCCACACUGGGACUGAGACACGGCCCAGACUCCUACGGGAGGCAGCAGUGGGGAAUAUUGCACAAUGGGCGAAAGCCUGAUGCAGCGACGCCGCGUGAGGGAUGACGGCCUUCGGGUUGUAAACCUCUUUCAGCAGGGAAGAAGCACAGUGAUUUUUCACCGCGUGACAGUACCUGCCGAAGAACCGCCGGCUAACUACGUGCCAACAGCCGCGGUAAUACGUAUGGCGCAAGCGUUGUCCGGAAUUAUUGGGCGUAAAGAGCUCGUAGGCGGCUUGUCACGUCGGAUGUGAAAGCCCGGGGCUUAACCCCGGGUCUGCAUUCGAUACGGGCAGGCUAGAGUGUGGUAUGGGAGAUCGGAAUUCCUGGUGUAGCGGUGAAAUGCGCAGAUAUCAGGAGGAACACCGGUGGCGAAGGCGGAUCUCUGGGCCAUUACUGACGCUGAGGAGCGAAAGCGUGGGGAGCGA